UGGUUGCCAUGUUGGUGCCUGGCAGAGCUGCCAUGUUGCUUAUAGCCGCGCAUGCGGCCAUGUUGAAUAUUAGGAAAUGAGUUCGAGUCGUACUAAGACAGCGCACGCGGGGCAGCGUAUGUAGUCUAGAUUUUGGAAAUGAAGGAUCACUAAUUUCUUUUGACAGUUUGGUACUAACAUACCUUUGCCACUGAAGGUGUAGCUUCAUGUUCCCGUGCACUUGUUUACAAAAAUAUAGCCAUUACUCAUGCAUAUUUGAGGGAGGAUAACUGAUGGAGCAGAGAUACUAUAAUGAGUCUACAAAUACAUAUUCUCACUCUUCUUGCUUAUACCAAAUCUACAAGUAUCAUGUGUAAUACAUUAAAAUAGAGUCCUCAGGGAAUUCCUUGGUGGUCCAGUGGUUAGGACUCUGCGCUUUCAUUGCCAACGGAACCGGUUCAAUCUGCGGUCGGGGAAAUCAGAUCGCAAGCUGCUCAGAAUGUAUGCAUGCAUGCAUAAAUACAUACAUACAUACAUACAUACUCAGAAGGAGGCACUAGGGGGCUCCUGAGGUUCUGGUUGAGCUGUGUUUCUUAUUCUGAGAGCUGGUUGUAUGAAUACGUUGUUUGUGAAAAUGAACUGAGCCAAACAUUUUGGUAUGUGCACUUCUCUGUGUAGUAAACUUAAAAAUUUCGUUUUUUUUAAUGAGGUUCUCUGAAUGGAAGCAUUUGAGAACCACUGAUUUAUCAAGCCUACGGAACGCCAAACACUGCCAGAAAGAACAGCUUAAGGCACGGCCCCUGCUUUCAGAGCUUCUGCAACCUGCGGCACACGGAACUUACCUGACCAGGGAUUGAACCCACAUUCCUUGCAGUGGAAGGCAGAGUCUUAACCACCAGACCGCCAAGGAAGACCCUACUUAACAGCAUAACACUCCAGUUAAAGAAGCCCAGAACUGUGAAGAACAAAGAGAAGGUAGGUGAUUGGAAUGAGAUCCUUGGAAGAGAAAGAAGAGGGGCCAGUCAGGGAUGCUAAUUCCCAGAGCUCUGUAACUCCUCUGGACUCAAGGUAAUCAACCAAUUCCCCAAUGGGGAAUUUACCGAGAAUUCGCAUUCCUAACCUCUACCCCUGAUCUACUUAAUCAAUCUCUGGCGGGGUGGGUGGGGGUGGAGCCUACGAUUUAAAAAUAAGCUCUUAAAUGAUCCUUUUGCAGUUUGAGACAAUUGAGCUUGACUGUUGCUUUCUAAACUAUAAGCUCUAGAUUCUUAGGGGUCUGCAGUGUUGUUGCAGCAGAAUCCAUGUACACAUGAAGUGAGCCCAGCCUGUGGCCCCAAUAAAUAACAUGCCUCUCAAAUGUAUAUACUACUGUUGCCCAAAUGUUUGUUGAUGUUGUUGAGUGUAAUACACUUUUAAGUCACUGAAAGUGUUUCUAGACUCAUAAUGGCUUUUGCUCUAACAAUACAACUACAGUCAUGUGGGAGUCCAGGAAAUUCUUUGCCAUUUCAUUGAAGGCCUCUUCUCUCCAGACAAUACCCUGUUUCUAGUUUGUAGAGGAGCAGGCACUGUGGAAGCAUUUCAUCUACCUUCCUGAAAGUUAGAAUCCCAUGAGGAAUUUGAUUUUAAUUGCACGAGAACUAAACUAGGAGUCUAGAAAGCUUGUAACCUUUCUAUUGAUAACCUUAGUCAUAGCUAAUCAUAGCUUGGGUGCAUUCUGCUUACUACGCCCUUUAAUUGCACCGUCUCAUUUAAUCCUUAAAAUAACUUUGCAAGGUAAACAUUGUAUAAUCCCCAUUUUAGACAAGCAGAACACCCCAUUUUACAAAUGAAGAAACUGAGGCAUGGAGACGCAAAGUAGCUUUCUUGUUCAAGGUCUUACAGCUGAUAAACAGCAGGUUGAAAUUUGCCCAAAUUUGCCUGAUUGGACAGCCUGUGUUUUUUUUUGCCACAGUGUGACUAUUUAUUGCCAUCCCACUGAUUUCUGCCUCUGCUAUAGGCCUCACUUUCUGGGUGCAGACCUGGAGGAUGACAAACUUUCAACUUACAGAGAAAAUGUGAAGACUUACAAAAGAAACUAUGAAAGAAGUAAAGGAAAGAACAUUAUAACAAUUAGCUAAGCUCCCCUUGCAUAGUUGGAGAAAACUGGAAGAAGAAUUUACCGAGAGUGGGCAGGGGCGAGCUCCGCGGCGCGAGCCGCACGAAUGAGAGAAACGUGCCCCUCGCGAGGCGUCGCGCGCGCCCGGGACAGGGAGCCAAUGAGAACGCUGGGAGGGCUCGAGACCCGGCCCUGAGGUCGACGGCCGCGCGCCGGCUCGAAGACGAGCGUCGCCGGGCGGGAGCGCGCGGAGCGGGGCUGGCUUGGAGUAUGCGGAGGCCGCGCUCUGCCUCUCAGAGGCCGGACGGCGCUGCGAAGCGGCGGCGACGGCAGCGGUAACUGGAACCGCGUCGAGGGUGAGGCCCUGGGACACCUUUGAACUCUGCAUCCAGAAAGCCCAAGAUGGAAGAAGAAAGGUCAGAGACAUUGACUAACCUGGAAACAGGGACCUCUUUGGAACUUUGCUUUCAUCCACAGUAGCUUUUAAAAGUAUCAUCGAGUGGUAGUGAUUUCCUCGUCUUAUUUUGCUUAUUGGGAAGAACAUGGCUUCAGGGAUUUUAUGUUUCCCUUUAGUUUUGCAUGAACUCCAUAGGAAAAGGAGCCUUUAAAGGGUUUGGGAGUAACAAGAAGAGACUGAAGACAGACAGGCUUGUGCGUGCUGUUUUCCCUCCCCUUCAAAGAAAAGGAUUUACAACGCAAUCUUGUAACAGCUGCUGCCCAGCUUUAACCACCAAGAGAAAGUAAAAUAAAUAAAUAAAUUUAAAAAAAGAGAAAGUAAAUAAUUAAACUACCAUUAAAAAAUAAUUUAUUUUUAAGUUCGACAAAUCAAAUAACCCCAUUUACC